ensembl:lncRNA
GCCCGCCUUGCCCAAAGGAUGUGCCACUCAUCCGACAGUCCCCAGAGUCACAGCUGCUGCUAGAGGGCGAUUCUGUACACUUCCUUGUCGUCAUGUGCCCUGACUUCCUGCCACAAGGGCAGCUGCUACAGAGUAGGAGUGAUAAUCUUCAAGACAGGAGUGACAGGGAGAAGGGCCUCGUGCAAAGACUCAGCCAGGACCAAUAGUGACAACCAUAACGCCCAGCGUUUGACAACCUUAGGAUCACCAUGGGGCUAAGUGGAAACUGGACUCAGAGAAGGUUGGUGACUUGCCCCGGAGGAAAUGGUAACACUGAGAUCACACCCAGGCUUCCUGACCCCAAAGUACUGCCUUGUCCCUUCGUUGUCCUCCAUUUCUUCAUUCCAGGAGUCUUCAUGGGACGGAGGGGACCUACCUGCCAGAUUCUGUCGCUCACCUCCCACCAGCRGGGGAAGCAGGGCCCGUGGCAGAGUCGGUGCAGCAGUGUGGGCUUCACUGAGAAGUGAGGGCAUCUCAUUGCCUGAAUCUGUGCAAGUCAAACUCAAGCUUCUCCAAGGCUGGACUGUUCCAAUCUAGCACCUCUUCUCAAAAAACACCCAGUGUGUCUCUGUUAAAUGGUAAUUUUCAGAAUUUUGGCUCAUGCUCAAAGCUGAAAGGUGGCCACAAAUAGGACCCAGAUCCCGUGGUUCAUCACCCCUUUCCAUCUAGACAAACUCAAGAGACUUGGAGUAAAGUGUUUCUUUGAAGGAAGUUGUCCCACAGCCCAGGACACCUGUGUGACAUCCUGCUUCCCUCUUCACAGUCGGGGGAUGAGGUGUGUUCUUGGUCCAUCUCAGCCCCAGGGGACAGCAGAGUGGAGAGUGACGGCCACCUGAGAGCAAGCUCCAUCUCCUCAGUGGRUGAAGCAAGGGUGCGGGUUUCCCUGUGAGUGGGUGGACUGCUCUACCUGUGGCUAAGCUGGAGUCAUCUUGAAAGGACCCCCUCAGGAGGCCUGUCUGCAGCAGGAAGUCUGGAGGCAUUCCCUCUGAGCAGGAGCCCAGGGCAGUGCUGCUGGURGCCAGCCAAGGAACGCAUCAUCCGUGCCGGGGUGUGCAGUGUCAGAGAUUCCAGGGCUUGAAGGACUCAGAGAAUCGAACAUCUGGACAUCUGCCACGCAGACGGCCUCGGGCCCAGUUACGCCAGCAGCUGUCAAAUGAGAUUUCCCCCAUUCUCCUCCUCCUCACCCAUCCAGAGGCAGGAGGCGGGUGGGGAGGAGGGAGCAGGAGCCGGGAGGCCCAGAGAAAGCACAAAGCUGUGUCUCCCUUGCCCAAGGCAGGAAGCAGAGCCGGCUGCCCUAAGCUGGGGAUUAGAAGACAAACUUAGCAUUGGGUGAGAAGGUGAAGUUUUAAUUUAAAUCAAAUUGAACUUUUUAAUACUCAAAAAAAAUGAGUCUGUUAUGAUACUUAAAAUUACCAGAAAAGCUACUAUUUCUGCUUGAGAUAUUAUCUAGGAAUAGACUAGGGGUUUCCAACAGAGACCAUUUGAAGAGUCAUAGUGAGGGGAAAAUAAACUUCUUUUUGGAUUCCUCUCUACCA